AACGAACGCUGGCGGCAUGCCUAACACAUGCAAGUCGAACGGGACCUUCGGGUCUAGUGGCGCACGGGUGCGUAACGCGUGGGAACCUGCCCUUAGGUUCGGAAUCCCUCCCCGUAGGGGGUGCUAAUACCGGUUAAUGUCUUCGGACCAAAGAUUUCUCGCCAUUGGAUGGGCGCGCGUUGGAUUAGCUAGUUGGUAGGGUAAAAGCCUGCCAAGGCGACGUUGCAUAGCUGGUCGGGGAAGAGGAUCAACCACACUGGGACUGCGACACGGACCAGACUGGUACGGGAGGCAGCAGUGUAUAAUAUUGGACAAGGAGCGAUAGUGUAAUCCAGCAGUGCGGCGUGAGUGGGGAAUAGCUUAGUGUUGUAAAGCUCUUUGACACGAGACGAGAAUGACAGUACCGGGAGAAGAAGCACCGGCUAACUCCGUG
rnacentral:rRNA from 1 species